GGGAUAUUUGGGAAGAAAUUCUGAUGGAGUUUUAGAACAUGAAGCGAGAUUGGAAAUACAAGUUCUGAUUGGGAAGAUGUUGCGAAUCCUGCAGACGAGUAAAGACUCCGAGAGAUACAAACCAUGCAAGAGGUGGUCAACCAGGUGGCUCAGCGGCAGCCCUGAGUGCAGGCCUGCAUGUGGCUUAGUCCGGUGGAGAAGCUUCACCCGGUGAACACCCCAGGCGUUCUGGAAGGCUGUGUUGCAGGAGGCGAGUAUCAGAGGUUUCUCCCUGCAGCCAGCGAGGCUGCGGCUCUGCCUCGCAGCUCUGGAAAUGCUAAGCAGAUUUAUUUACUUAUUUAUUAGAUGUAUUCAUGAGUCCAUGCAGCAGGAAGUGGAGCCGUCACAGGGUACGAAGCGGGGACAAGUGCAGCAUCGUGAGCGUGUACAGAGGGAAGUUGACAGUGGGGAGAGGCUUUGCUGAGGAAGUGGCAUUUGGAAGAGGAAGAAUGAGGCUACUGAAAAUCUCCUUGCAGACUGGUACCGGCCCACAAAUGUACCAUUAGGAAGCUGUUCUCUUCAAGAGCAGGCUUGGAAGCUAGAGAGGACUGAGAUUG
rnacentral:lncRNA from 1 species